rnacentral:rRNA from 1 species
UACGUAGGUGGCAAGCGUUGUCCGGAAUUAUUGGGCGUAAAGCGCGCGCAGGUGGUUUCUUAAGUCUGAUGUGAAAGCCCACGGCUCAACCGUGGAGGGUCAUUGGAAACUGGGGAACUUGAGUGCAGGAGAGAAGAGUGGAAUUCCACGUGUAGCGGUGAAAUGCGUAGAGAUGUGGAGGAACACCAGUGGCGAAGGCGACUCUUUGGCCUGUAACUGACACUGAGGCGCGACAGCAUGGGGAGCAAACAGG